UCUUGCUGGUUUCAGUGCAUUUAUAAUUGGGAACAUUCCUUACAAGGAUCAGGUACACAUCUUACUAUACAUAUACAUCAAUGGUUAAGAAGGACGUGGAGUAAUUGAGCGCGAGCUCAAAUGAGCUCGUUAUCCACGUCGUUGGUUAGCCCCUCUGGAUGUGUGCCAUUAAUUUAUCCUAGCACUGGUGGUCAUCCAAAAAUCGGGUACUGUUCCGAAAUACGUCCCCGGCAGCGGUGUCCAGUGGGCCAGAUUUAACGCUGGGAGGACGGCAGUUUGCCGCCUGGGAGGUGUUUCAUGGAUCAGAAUCAGAGCCGCCGUCUGAUCCGUGGAUCAGGAAAUUCGCUUUACCGUCUCACCGCACAAGUCGAGUUGAAUCCAGAGUCCAGCCGUCUUCUCUUGCAAAGUGGCUGGCGAUUUGAAGGCGAUGACUGGGAGAUAAAGGUCAGGAGCGGCAGCGGCGAUCCAACAUGGAGUUCUUGAUGCAGCCGAUCUUCAGAUCUGCUGUGCUUGAGGAGAUAGAAGAGAGCCUGGUGCCUGCCCCUCUGGUUGCCGAUGGCGAAGUGGUGGCGGAGCAUGCGGUGCGGCAGCAUCACAGGGCGGCGGACAGCGGCAAAGCACAGAUCAGGGGCGGAGGCCGCAGCGGGCAGAAGGGAUAGCUCCCCUCCGACGCCCGAGCUCUCAACGGGGAAGACGAAUCCCCAGGCGCCCGGAUGGAAUAAGAGGGCAGUGGAAAAGCUUCCGUAUGUCAACAGAGAUGCAAAGAUUUUAGUAAAGAAAAAUGGACAUAAGUAAAGAAAUCAGGCAGCUAUAUCUUUCUAGAUUCAGAGUAUUUAGUACAAUGCAUUUAGCUGAACCCUCCUGAUAUGAGAGAUGCAAAGAAAUUAGUGGAGAAAAAUUGGUAGCACUAAUGAAAUCAGGCAGCUGUAAUUUACCGGGUUCAGCGGGUUAACUCCAUUGCAUUCACGUAGUUGAAAUUCAGAUAAGAAAGAACUUCCUUAUGUCAUCAGAUAAGGAAAGAUUUCAGUAAAACAAAGUAGUUUGUGCACCGCAUUCAGUUGUAACUCAUUGAUAUGCGAGAUGCAAAGACUUUAGUAAAGAAAAAUUGAGUGCGGUAAAGAAAUCAGGCAGCUGCAGUUUGCUGAGUUCAGAGGAGUAAGUACACUGCAUUCUGAUUAUUGACAGUCAGAUAAUGAAAAGCUUAACUAUGUGAUCACACAUGGAAAUUAUUUUAUUAAAUAAAAAUUGGUAACACUAAAUCAGGCAGCUAGAGAUGUAUGGGUUCAGAGUAGUUAGCAAACUGUAUUAAAAUGAAACCAUUUGAUAUGAGAGAUGCAAAGAUUUUAUUAUAGAAAAUUGGAUUGCAGAAAAGAAAUCAGUCAGCUAUAGCUUUGUGGAUUCAGAGCAGUUGGUACAAUGCAUUUGGAUAAAUCAUGCCUACUGCCUGGUGUUUGCAGGCUGAGGCUUGGUGCAGGACACCAUGCCCAAAUCGAAUCAGUGCGUUCGACAAGGCUGUCAGAUGUUUUGCAGAGAAACCGGCUGAAAAUGUGAUCACACCUGUUCUCGGCAUUACAUUCGACUCCUUGGGCGAGGCUUCUGGUGAUGCUCUCACUGAUUUGUUGUUAGUAAAUCAGAUACAGUGGAGUAGAAUUUUUAUCUGAGAAGCUCAUGAAAAGCGUGCACAUAAUGAAGAGAUGCUUGGUUUCAUUAGGGCUAAAAAAUACCAGCUAAGCAUAUAGUGAAGACAUGGACGAGGGAUGCUCACGACAUUCUGCCACCUCAUCUGAUACAAUACCAGAAGGGCAGCAUGCAGAACAACCCUUUUUCGUCCAGAAACUUCACGAUGUACAUGCACGCAAUGGAACUAGUCAGGCUGGGCGACACUAGUUUUGAAGCCUACAAUCGAUUGAUGGAGUUGUUCAAGUCGAAUUUGACAGUGAUGUUACCCUAUACAGAAGUUAGGGAUGGUCUUGGCCUCGAGGAUAGACUGGCAGACAGGGGGGCUGUGGUGAAUCAGACCCCCAUGGAGCUGGUUUCGGCGGAACAAAACUUGAACGUCAAAGCAGCUACUGCUGUUUUAGCUGACAAUGAUUCGGUUUCGAGGACAAGCAACAGGUUGGAAGGACUGCUGGCUCCAGCGAAAAAGAAAGAUAUGGGAUGGCCAACGACAAGUACGGAGAAGGCUCCAUAUGAAGGUCUAAGCAAGAGGACUAGGUUUUGCACGAUAUGCUGAAAACAAGGGCAUUAGCAAACUACAUGCCCUGAUGUGGUGAUGUCCCUAAGCAACCUCGGAAGCCUGCCAAAUGUAAGAACUGUGGCUUGCAAGUAGAAUGCAGUUUGACGGGCACCAGCAAAAUAAUUGUAAUAAAGCAAUGGAACUAAGGCUGGCAAGUAGAAUGCAGUUUGGGAAUGCACUGGGACUAGGGUUGGAUUAGCUGGCAGGACGAGGAUGAAGUUGGUUCCGGCCAAGAGCAGCAUGGAGGCGCGGCACAGGGGAGGCUCGGCUGCUGCACCUGUGGCUGCAUGCGCACAUGUGGUGGCUGAAUCUCCGCCUGGCUGCCGUGGUCGAAGUUGUGGUCUCGCAUGUAUCUCUGCUCAAGGGGAGCCGACGGCUGCAUCAGCCCUGCGUGAGUCAGCUCCGGCAGGUACGUGUCCGUGGAUCUAAUGAACCCGC